rnacentral:rRNA from 1 species
UACGGAAGGUCCGGGCGUUAUCCGGAAUUACUGGGUGUAAAGGGAGCGCAGGCGGGUCAGCAAGUCAGCGGUGAAAAUUAUGGGCUCAACCCAUAAACUGCCGUUGAAACUGUUGAUCUUGAGUGGAGUAGAGGUAGGCGGAAUUCCGAGUGUAGCGGUGAAAUGCGUAGAUAUUCGGAGGAACACCAGUGGCGAAGGCGGCCUACUGGGCUCUAACUGACGCUGAGGCUCGAAAGUGUGGGGAGCAAAC